AUGAGGAAGAUGCUGGCUGCUGCUGUCUCUAGCGUGCUGUCUGUUGUCACCCAGAAGCCCGCUAACAGGGUGCUUGUGGCAUCCUGUAACUAUUCAUAUGAUGCUACAUUUGAGAUUAAGAAAUGUGAUCUUUAUCGGUUGGAAGAGGGUCCCCCUGUCACCGCAGUGCUCACCCGGGAGGAUGGACUCAAAUACUACAGGAUGAUGCAGAACAUUUGUCGAAUGGAAUUGAAGGCGGAUCAGUUGUAAAAACAGUGGUUUCUGUCACUUGUGUGAUGGUCAGGAAGCUUGUUGUGUGGGUCUUGAGGCUGGGCUAAAUCCCACGGAUCAUGUUGUUGCAUCCUGUCAGGCUCACGGCUCAUGUGUACUCGUGGACUUUCUUUCCCAUCAAUUCUAGCAGAGCUGACAGGUCGAAGAGGUGGCUGUGCUGAAGGAGAAGGAGGGUCAAUGCAUAUGUAUGCCAAUAACUUCUAUGGAGGCAAUGGCAUUGUCGGCGCUCAGGGACCGCUGUGAGCUGCUUAUAAUAUGGCAGCUGUGUGGAAUUUACCUUGUAUUUUCAUCUGCGAGAAUAACCACUAUGGAAUGGGAACAUCUGUUGAGAGAGCAGCAGCUCUAAAGGUAGAUGGAAUGGAGGUUCUAUGUGUUUGGGAGGCAACUAAGGUUGCAGCUGACUGUUGUAGAUCUGGAAAGGGGCCCAUACUGAUGGAGCUGCUGACAUACCAUUAUCAUGGACACAGUAUGAGUCACCCUGGAAUCAGUUAUCGUACACGAGAAGUUCAGAAUUUAAGAAGUAAGAGCAAUCCUAUCAUGCUUCUCAAAGAUAAAAUGGUAAACAACAAACUUGCCAGUAUUGAAGAAUUGAAGGAAACUGAUGUUGAAGUGAGGAAAGGAAUUGAUGCUGCUGCUCAGUUUGCUAUAACUGAUCCUGAACCACCUUUGGAAGAAUCUACAGCAAUAAUCCACCUUUUGAAAUUCGUGGUGCAAAUCAGUGGAUCAGGUUUAAGUCAGUCAGUUAA